UGAGGAAUAUUGGGCAAUGCCCGCAAGGGUGACCCAGCAACGCCGCGUGGAGGAUGAAUGUCGUAAGAUUGUAAACUCCUGUUAGAGGGGAAGAAUAGUACCGGUUGGACCGGUAUAUGACUGUACUCUCAGAGAAAGCCCCGGCUAACUACGUGCCAGCAGCCGCAGUAAUACGUAGGGGGCAAGCGUUGUCCGGAUUUACUGGGUGUAAAGGGCGCGCAGGCGGGAUAAAAAGUCAGUGGUGAAAUCCUACAGCUUAACUGUAGAACUGCCUUUGAUACUUUUAUUCUUGAGUUCGGGAGAGAGAGACGGAAUUCCAGGUGUAGUGGUGAAAUACGUAGAUAUCUGGAAGAACACCAGUUGCGAAGGCGGUCUCUUGGUCCGACACUGACGCUGAGGCGCGAAAGCGUGGGGAGCAAACA
rnacentral:rRNA from 1 species